UUAUCAUUACUUUCCGAACUUCAGUUAUCUCUUAAAGUAAAUUACUUUUAAAAUUAAGCAUUAAAUCUUAGUUUGAUUCUGAGAUUCCUCUAAGUUUGCACCUCCUAUAAAUUUUCAUAUUGGUUAAUGAUAUUAAUAUCGAUCUUUCUGUGGAAAACAAAUGUAUUUUGUGUGUUUUGCCUACAUGAAAAAAUCUUGGGUUCUCAUAUAUAUAUAUACGUAUAGUAUAUAAAGUUGCACCUGAGGCAAAAAAAGUGAAAUAGGCUAAACAUGUCCUCCAUAAAUAUAUUUUCCAAGUCAUACAUCAAACACAAUAAACGGAGAUGGAAAAAUGGAAUUGAACGCAAUAAGGCGGAAAUAUCCGAAGAAAUAUAUGCGCAUGAAUUUCAAUAUGAAAAAUCAAAGAUUUAUCUAUUCUUCUUACAUAUUACCUCACCUUACCCAAAUCUGGAUUUUUUCUUUUUUUUUUUAUAUAAUUUCUUUUUUGUCCUUUCGCUUAAUUUUAUCGAAGCAACCUAAGUUUGGAUUUGUUUUGGGUUCUGCACAGUCUGAUUAAAACACGUUUCUAUCGAAUUCGUAACCGAAUUUGGUUGCAAAAAAACAGGUUUUUCUAAAAUGAUUCCUUAUGAAGCGUAUCUCAUUUACAUCUCUCUCGAAGAAGAAAAAGGAGAUGGUGCGUAUUCCGAAAUCACCCACGGUGGAAUUUCUGAUGCAGACCUCAUAUCUUCUUUCUGACUCUUCUCCAGAUAGGGACAUCUAUUUUUAAAACGCGUAAGGUAUACAAUGAAAUGUUAUACUGUUCGGUACGUGAAAAUUAUGCUACGUCUCGCCUGUAUAAUGUUUUUUUACUUUUAUCUACGUUUGCAAACGGAAUCGACUUCUCUCUACUACUGCUACUAUAAUAACUCUGCCGAGAUCACGGUGAAAACAGAUAUGUGCGCUUUCGAUCGUAAGGAUCCCUCCUAAACUGCAGUAAAAUAUGGUAGAUAUUUUCGUUUAUGGUAAAUUUACUCGAUGUCGACAUUAAAGACAACGUUAACGCGUUUUACAGAACAAUCUAACAGACAGACGGACGAGCAGAGGGAGAGAGAGGUAGAAGGUCUGUCUGUUAUAGAUACCGCGGUAACACGACGUUACCAUAGCAACGAGUAGACGGUCAAUGGAGCCUUUUAUCUGAACUCCAAGCUGCGGCAUCCUGACACACAGGGAAAACAUUGCAGCCAAAACUGGUAAAAAUGUUUAAAGAUACUUACGGCAAUGUUUACAAUUAUGAAAGGGGGGCAUUCCUCUUCUUACUUUGACGUACGACAACAGCUGUGUAAUCAAAUUUUAAUCAACAAGUUGCAUAAAAGAUAUUACCAUAUUGUUAAACAAUUUUCCUCUUUGUUGUCCCACACUCGAUCGUGUACGUCGAGUUGAUGUCUUUCAGAAAAAAAAAAAAAAAAAAAGUUAUAAUCUUUGAUCCCUCGCAUCCUCACAAAGGCGCACUCCAGAAAUAAUUUGUCACACUUGAAAAUUUUUCACUGAACUAUUUUUAUAUGGAGAAUUUUCGGAAUGUUAUAUUGUUUCAAGUGCAUACGAUGCUCACCUUCACUCUUAUCCAUUUAUAAAGCAUUUACUUACAUAUAUACAUAGAUAAAAAUUUAUUUUUCUAGAAUAUGAAUCAGUUAUAAAUCUUUUUUUAUCUAAAAUAUUUGUAACAGAACUUUAUGUACUUUUUAUCAUAUUUUUGUUUUUUUUUUUUUUUUUUACGUGUUUGUGUGACAAAAUUCUUGCAAAAUAUUUAUAAUUAUCGAUAAUUAUA
rnacentral:lncRNA from 1 species